rnacentral:rRNA from 1 species
GGCUAACUCCCGUGCCAGCAGCCGCGGUAAUACGGAGGGUGCAAGCGUUAUCCGGAUUUAUUGGGUUUAAAGGGUGCGCAGGCGGACUAUUAAGUCAGUGGUGAAAUCUCUCGGCUCAACCGAGAAACUGCCAUUGAAACUGAUAGCCUUGAGUGUAGUUGUAGUAGGCGGAAUAUAGCAUGUAGCGGUGAAAUGCUUAGAUAUGCUAUAGAACACCGAUCGCGAAGGCAGCUUACUAAACUAUUACUGACGCUCAUGCACGAAAGCGUGGGGAGCAAACAGGAUUAGAUACCCUGGUAGUCCACGCCGUAAACGAUGAUUACUCGAUGUUGGCGAUACACAGUCAGCGUCCAAGCGAAAGCGUUAAGUAAUCCACCUGGGGAGUACGAUCGCAAGAUUGAAACUCAAAGGAAUUGACGGGGGCCCGCACAAGCGGAGGAGCAUGUGGUUUAAUUCGAUGAUACGCGAGGAACCUUACCUGGGCUCAAACGUAGAGUGACCAUCUGUGAAAGCAGAUUUUCCUUCGGGACAGUCUACGAGGUGCUGCAUGGUUGUCGUCAGCUCGUGCCGUGAGGUGUCGGGUUAAGUCCCAUAACGAGCGCAACCCCUAUCUUUAGUUGCCAUCAGGUCAAGCUGGGGACUCUAAAGAAACUGCCUACGCAAGUAGUGAGGAAGGUGGGGAUGACGUCAAAUCAGCACGGCCCUUACGUCCAGGGCUACACACGUGCUACAAUGGUCGAUACAGAGGGCAGCUACCUGGUGACAGGAUGCAAAUCUCGAAAAUCGAUCUCAGUUCGGAUCGAAGUCUGCAACUCGACUUCGUGAAGUUGGAUUCGCUAGUAAUCGCAUAUCAGCCAUGAUGCGGUGAAUACGUUCCCGGGCCUUGUACACACCGCCCGUCAAGCCAUGGAAGCUGGGGGUACCUGAAGUUCGUGACCGUAAG